AAGCCGGAGCCAGUCCAGGGUUUAAUACCGAUUCCCAAGAAGCAGCCCUCACUAAUACCUUGCUUCAUUAUUUGCAUUGUCUCGUCUAGGAAACUACAGUGUCUGUACCGUACCCGUCUGCAUCGAACGAGCAAAGAUGAUCGAAGAGUCACUGAACAAGUCCGUUGAUCCUUGCGAUGAUUUCUACUCCUACGCCUGCGGCGGAUGGAUGGAGAAACAUCCAAUACCGGAUGCGAAGUCGAGUAUCGGGAACUUCGACCUGCUCCACGAUCAACUGCAAGAGACUCUGAAAAGUAUAUUUGGAAACAUGACACUCGUAGAAGAGAAUCAAAAUAUAACAGACAAGUUGGCUGUUGCCUACAAUGCCUGUAUCGGUACGUUGAAUGUUGUCAAGUUGGCGUGUUGAAAGGAAACCAUGCAUUGAAAAUUUUUGCCUCGUGCCAUACAUAUGCCUACAUUCCUGAGCAAAACAAUACGUAGCAGGUAUUGCGCGAUAAAGCCGCUUUUUCUUCACCUAUAUGAAUGUAACUUCAAAUUGUGGACUGCAGCCCAGGCUCUGCAUCAGGCAAACCUGUUUAUAUACCACUGCUCGCGGGUGUGUGCAAGUAUCCGCACGUGCGUAAGGUAUGCGUGCGUGCUUUGUGCGUUUGCUGUCACGACCUACAGUACAGCCUGCAAAAAAGUCGUUCAACUGCUGUUAAAUUUUGAGGAUGGAAUAUUUAGGGAUCACGGGCGCGAAAC